rfam:Camelus ferus unplaced genomic scaffold scaffold2312, whole genome shotgun sequence.
GUGUGUAUAGCUCAGUGGUGGAGCACGUGUUCAGCAUGCACGAGGUCCUGGGUUCAAUCCCCAGUACCUCCA